rnacentral:rRNA from 1 species
GAUGAACGCUGGCGGCGUGCCUAAUACAUGCGAGUCGAGCGAACGGACGAGAAGCUUGCUUCUCUGAUGUUAGCGGCGGACGGGUGAGUAACACGUGGAUAACCUACCUAUAAGACUGGGAUAACUUCGGGAAACCGGAGCUAAUACCGGAUAAUAUUUUGAACCGCAUGGUUCAAAAGUGAAAGACGGUCUUGCUGUCACUUAUAGAUGGAUCCGCGCUGCAUUAGCUAGUUGGUAAGGUAGCGGCUUACCAAGGCAACGAUGCAUAGCCGACCUGAGAGGGUGAUCGGCCACACUGGAACUGAGACACGGUCCAGACUCCUACGGGAGGCAGCAGUAGGGAAUCUUCCGCAAUGGGCGAAAGCCUGACGGAGCAACGCCGCGUGAGUGAUGAAGGUCUUCGGAUCGUAAAACUCUGUUAUUAGGGAAGAACAUAUGUGUAAGUAACUGUGCACAUCUUGACGGUACCUAAUCAGAAAGCCACGGCUAACUACGUG